rnacentral:rRNA from 4 species
AGACCCGAAACCCGGUGAUCUAGCCAUGGGCAGGUUGAAGGUUGGGUAACACUAACUGGAGGACCGAACCGACUAAUGUUGAAAAAUUAGCGGAUGACCUGUGGCUGGGGGUGAAAGGCCAAUCAAACCGGGAGAUAGCUGGUUCUCCCCGAAAGCUAUUUAGGUAGCGCCUCGUGAAUUCAUCUCCGGGGGUAGAGCACUGUUUCGGCUAGGGGGCCAUCCCGGCUUACCAACCCGAUGCAAACUGCGAAUACCGGAGAAUGUUAUCACGGGAGACACACGGCGGGUGCUAACGUCCGUCGUGAAGAGGGAAACAACCCAGACCGCCAGCUAAGGUCCCAAAGUCAUGGUUAAGUGGGAAACGAUGUGGGAAGGCCCAGACAGCCAGGAUGUUGGCUUAGAAGCAGCCAUCAUUUAAAGAAAGCGUAAUAGCUCACUGGUCGAGUCGGCCUGCGCGGAAGAUGUAA